AUUGAACGCUGGCGGCAUGCCUUACACAUGCAAGUCGAACGGUAACGGGCCUUCGGGUGCCGACGAGUGGCGAACGGGUGAGUAAUGUAUCGGAACGUACCUUUCAGUGGGGGAUAACGUAGCGAAAGUUACGCUAAUACCGCAUAUUCUGUGAGCAGGAAAGCAGGGGAUCGCAAGACCUUGCGCUGAUUGAGCGGCCGAUAUCAGAUUAGCUAGUUGGUGAGGUAAAGGCUCAACAAGGCGACGAUCUGUAGCGGGUCUGAGAGGAUGAUCCGCCACACUGGGCCUGAGACACGGCCCAGACUCCGACGGGAGGCAGCAGUGGGGAAUUUUGGACAAUGGGGGCAACCCUGAUCCAGCCAUGCCGCGUGCGGGAAGAAGGCCUUCGGGUUGUAAACCGCUUUUGGCAGGAACGAAACGGUGCGGGCGAAUACCCUGUGCUAAUGACGGUACCUGCAGAAUAAGCACCGGCUAACUACGUGCCAGCAGCCGCAGUAAGAC
rnacentral:rRNA from 1 species